UACGGGGGGGGCAAGCGUUGUUCGGAAUUACUGGGCGUAAAGGGCUCGUAGGCGGCCAACUAAGUCAGACGUGAAAUCCCUCGGCUUAACCGGGGAACUGCGUCUGAUACUGGAUGGCUAGAGGUUGGGAGAGGGAUGUGGAAUUCCAGGUGUAGCGGUGAAAUGCGUAGAUAUCUGGAGGAACACCGGUGGCGAAGGCGGCAUCCUGGACCAAUUCUGACGCUGAGGAGCGAAAGCCAGGGGAGCAAACGGG
rnacentral:rRNA from 1 species